AUACGACAUCGUUUUCAUCUUCUUCUUCCUCACUCUAUUAUGAAUGAUGUUAUCUUUUUGUUGAGUGUUGAUGCUUCUGGUGAUUGCAAAAAUUGGAAAAUUACGAGAGCUCUCGCCAUUGUUUAUGAACCUAUUGAAAAUAAACAGUAAAACCGCGGUGGUUUACAGUCCAACAGAUAAACCACGCGGUUUUACAGUCCUUUAACACGAGGGUUUUCUUCAACGGGGUACACCUGUUAGGGUUCAUGGGAAUGGACCACGGUGGUGAACCGGGUUUGAUUUUGGGUUCAAUGUUCAUGGUUCGGUGUGGAGAGAAACGAGUGAGAAAAGAGAAAGAAGAUGAAAAUGGCGGAAAUUUAAUGUCUAAUUUACUAUUGCUAAUUUUCUAGGUUUUGGUAGUGUUUGUGAAUUUUGAUAGUGUGUUUGAAGUUUGAACCCUCUAUUUUGAUAGUGUUUUUGAGUGUUUUUAAUCCCUCUAUUAUUUGUUAAUUUGUUG
rnacentral:lncRNA from 1 species